GACGAACGCUGGCGGCGUGCUUAACACAUGCAAGUCGAACGGAAAGGCCCUGCUUUUGUGGGGUGCUCGAGUGGCGAACGGGUGAGUAACACGUGAGUAACCUGCCCUUGACUUUGGGAUAACUUCAGGAAACUGGGGCUAAUACCGGAUAGGAGCUCCUGCUGCAUGGUGGGGGUUGGAAAGUUUCGGCGGUUGGGGAUGGACUCGCGGCUUAUCAGCUUGUUGGUGGGGUAGUGGCUUACCAAGGCUUUGACGGGUAGCCGGCCUGAGAGGGUGACCGGCCACAUUGGGACUGAGAUACGGCCCAGACUCCUACGGGAGGCAGCAGUGGGGAAGAUUGCAUAAUGGGCGGAAGCCUGAUGCAGCAACGCCGCGUGCGGGAUGACGGCCUUCGGGUUGUAAACCGCUUUCGCCUGUGACGAAGCGUGAGUGACGGUAAUGGGUAAAGAAGCACCGGCUAACUACGUG
rnacentral:rRNA from 1 species